UGGUCAAUUAAUUUAAGCAAUUAAUCCUGCUAUAGCUUCUGCUAAUGACGAUGAAAGCAAUUUCUAAGCAACGAGAUAAGAAUGAUCAUCUAGUAUGCCAUGUUCGAUGGAGAGUAUUAUAUAUGAACGGAAAAAUCACACACUAUGUUAUAAAACAGAGAGUAUGGGAAAGUCGGUAGAUAUCAUAAGAUCUUGUUGACCUCAAAUUUCUCUAGCAUCAAGCAGAAGGAAGGACAUUGUCUUGGAUGCGAGCAUACCACUGUUAGUAGUAUGUAGUGCAGAGAGCCUAAUAAAAAGAUGAAUAAUUGAUAACUUGCGCCUCAAGUAACCUAACUUCGAACCAGGCCACUGUUGUCUAAGUUGGAGACAACUCAUAUUAGUACUUUCUAUGUCCUAAGAUGAAUUGGUUUGUAAUAAUAAUUUAAUGGUAAACGAAUGGAAGAUCUCCUUAUAGAAAGAUAAAUAAGAUGAAAAACAAUUAAAAUUUUGGAAGCGGAACAACUCUAUAUUUGGGUUGAGGAGGUGUCAACUUGGAUUGAACUGUUGCAGCACGAAAUCAGCAUAAUCACAACUGGGACGGUACGUCAAUUCAAAAUCACACCAAUACAGGUGAUAGAGCAAUCUUCAAAUGGUGUUCAAAUCUCUAGAAAUUGGUAUUUAGAUAUCU
rnacentral:lncRNA from 1 species